GGAGCAUUAGAAGACGGGUAACCGUAGCGCCUGCCCCAGGGGGCCGCUCUUACCUCAGCACUGGCACCCCGGGGGCACCAAGUCCACGAACAGCAUGAAGAACUAACAAGAUUGCCAAAGGUCUGGAGCCCAGCACUGCUCCCAUAUCUUCAUGUGUCUAGUUUCUACACAUCUCUGAAAACAAUGAGGAAUUUAUGGGGCACAAACAGUGAAAAUGCCUUCUGAUGACGACAUCGUACAUGUUGGUUACUACCACCCAUUCAUUGUGAGAGUCUUAGAACUACCUUGAACACAGAGAAAAACAGGACUGUCCUCUACAUGAAAAUCACAACUGGGCACCGAAUCACUAUGCAUGCCUGGCUUACUGAAACACAGCUGCUAAUGCAGCUAUCUGUCUGCAGAAAUACUCUGAUGUAGAUCUUUAUGAUUGUUUGGCAUUAUAUGUUAAUACCGGGCUUUGAACCUGUUUUAGAAAAAGAAAAUAAUUAACAGUGGAAUGAAAGGGUAGUGGCUGCUUACAGCACAUGGUCCUAAACAUUCUCCACCAAAAUCUCUUUAACGCUGCCCAAGCAGAGCCCAGAAGAAGAGAAUAAAAUGGGUAUGGCAUAUAGGAAAGACGACAAAGGGCUUGUCUAUGCAGGAAGUUAAGUCAAAUCAACUAAAGACUGCCCACCAAACACAUGUGUAAGAAAGAGAUGCAUAUCUUUCUAGAUAGAGAUGCAUAGGGAGCCAGCAGGGUCUAGUGAAAUAAGCAUGGAACUUGAAGCCGAAGACACCCGAGUUCUAAUUCUGCUCCUGCCUUGUUAUAUUGCCUUGAACAAGUCAUUUAUCCCCUCUGCUCUUCCAUCUAAUAAAAUGGAGAAUGGAUAAUA